UCAUUUACGUGAAUCUGGGUUUAACUUCGUAUAGUUACCCAGGCUCUGGCCCAACAGAUUUUGAGCAGUCAAGCCCAAUUUGAAAUUCGGACCCCUAAUUCCCUUUUUCGCCCGCCAAUUUCAAAUGUCGCCGAAGUAAACCUUUCCCCCGUGAAUUCUUUGCUUCCCGGAACACCUUCAGGAUCUCCACUGGCAUGAAAUUAUUGAAUUGUUAUCAGAUUGCCGAGACUUGGAAUUUUGAAGUGAAUUCAGGCUAUAAUUAGGGUGAGUUCAGUGUAACAUCGUUGUAUAGUAAUACCAAUUUGUAGGGAAAAUGAAAAGAAAAAUGGAAAUCCCAAAUUCAGGGGUUUCAAUCUCAAAGAGAGACCUGUGAGAAAGAGGAUAGCUUCUAGGAAUUAUGAUGAGAAUUUGAUGGAUAAUUUCAUAGAUGAGCAGUUGGGUGGCCCAGUGACGAAGAAAGAUUUGGAGAAAGAAACUGAAAAAGAGGCCUUGAUAGCUCUUUCUUUGGGCUUCCCAAUUGGGGUUGCCAAAUGUUGAAAAGGCCAAUACUGGUGUGCGUCUUCCCUCCAGCUUUAAGUUCUUCUUUCUGCAUACAUACCACCCUGAAGCCUUUGGCCAUCCUUUCCUCCUUUCUCCUUAAAAGCAUGAUGAGCUUCACAUGGAUGGUCUAACUUGAAAACUUGGAGUCGACCAGUGUUUGUACAAUAUGUAUUCUUUUUUCAAAUCACAACAGUUAAGGAAGCAAGUUUUUUUUAGUGUCAAAGAUGUAGACAGAGAACAUUUUUGCUUGUACAGUAGAUGAGAUUCUGAUGUGCAUGCUCUGACUAUAUGCCUUGUGCUUUUGUAUUAAAACUUGAUUAUUUUUUUCAUA